rnacentral:rRNA from 1 species
CAGCAGCCGCGGUAAUACGAAGGGGGCUAGCGUUGUUCGGAAUUACUGGGCGUAAAGCGCGCGCAGGCGGUUCUCCAAGUCAGUGGUGAAAGCCCGGAGCUCAACUCCGGAACUGCCAUUGAAACUGUUGAACUUGAGGACGAGAGGGGUGAGUGGAAUUCCCAGUGUAGAGGUGAAAUUCGUAGAUAUUGGGAAGAACACCGGUGGCGAAGGCGGCUCACUGGCUCGUAUCUGACGCUCAGGCGCGAUAGCGUGGGGAUCAAACAGGAUUAGAGACCCCCGUAGUCCCUGUCUCUUAUAA